rnacentral:tRNA from 1 species
AAAAGUUUAGUUAAAUUAUAACAUUAGCAUGUCAAGCUAAAAUUAACAUUUAGUUAACUUUUA